GAUUCAGCACAGACACAAUCACUUCACUCAGAGGGGGAGUCUCAUCUCUGAAGAACUGCAUUCUGGGUAUGAAAAUGCUGAUGAGCUUCUCUCAGAAGAGAUGAAGCAAAUCACACCGGGAUACUAUGAUGAUGUCAUCACUGAUGGACUGAAACCAGAUCGUGAGACAGUGGACACACUAGAUCAUUAUGAUGACAUCAUCAUUAUUGGACAGAACUUUCAAGGUGUAACGAAGGGAGAUCAGGAGGAGUAUGAUGAUGUGAAGAACAGCAAUGAAGAUGAGAAACCUGUUAGACUAUGAUGAUGUGGGGGAGGAGUCAAAUAAAGAAGGAGGGGCCAUAUGACUCAAUGACCACACCCUCUGCCUCUGUUCAUGAAAUCAUAUUACAGUUACUGGAGCUGCGGAGAGCUUCUCAUAUUGCUAAUGCAUCAGUGCCUUAUGUUUUUGUUAUUUUAAAUAUCUUUGUAUGAAAAUUUAAAUAUUUGUAUUUUAGCAUUUGGUCUUUUAUUACUAUUUUGAUAUCAAUGCUUUUCACCUAAUAAACAAAAGAUAUCAUUCCAACAUCAUGUCACAAAAAUACUUUUAAAAGAGUCGUUAGAGAAAAGAAGCAAGUUAUGCUAUAAAUGUUUAAGAAAGUAUUUUUAGGCACUACUGUACUUUUAGGCUGCUGACAGCAUUAUUUACCUAAAUAUAAUGAUAAAAAAUAGAUUUACCAGAUAAUAGAUAUUAUAAAGCUUCAUGUUUUUCCAUAAGCCUACUGUCAUAGCAUCAGUUCUGUACUGUCAUCUUGAAUCAACUUAAGAAGAGUAUAAUUUAAUAUUUUAUUUACAAGAAGUAUUA